GUAGUGGUGGUUCAGUGGUAGAAUUCCCGCUUCGUAUGUGGGAGACCCGGGUUCAAUUCCCAGCCAACA
rnacentral:tRNA from 1 species